UUCACAGUCCUAAAACUGUCUUCUAUUUACAGAGCAGAUACAACAUAGGCAGUGGCAAUGCAAGCCCCCACCAUGCAUGCCCCCUGCCAAAGUGACCCAAUCUUCAGCAGGUAUCACCUCUAGAACUGAAAGAUGGUUUCAGUCUUUAUGACAGAUUCUAUCUUCAGUAUUU
rnacentral:sRNA from 1 species